rnacentral:rRNA from 1 species
UACGAAGGGGGCUAGCGUUGCUCGGAAUCACUGGGCGUAAAGGGUGCGUAGGCGGUCUUUUAAGUCGGGGGUGAAAUCCUGGAGCUCAACUCCAGAACUGCCUUCGAUACUGGAAGACUUGAGUCCGGGAGAGGUGAGUGGAACUGCGAGUGUAGAGGUGAAAUUCGUAGAUAUUCGCAAGAACACCAGUGGCGAAGGCGACUACCUGGCCUGUUCUUGACGCUGAGGCGCGAAAGCUAGGGGA